rnacentral:tRNA from 1 species
CGAGGUGUGGCUCAGCUUGGUAGAGCACUUCGUUCGGGACGAAGACGCCGCAGGUUCAAAUCCUGUCACCUCGACCA